UCCCAGCAUCGGUUGCCGGUGGUUCGGGGCAGGGAGACGACGCAGCGCGAGCGGAAAGGGCGGUUACCCAACGGCCUUAGCUCUCAUGGCGUCCUCCGUGGUGUUACCUAAAAAUAAAGUUAUUUGUGAUUAGAAGGUAAUCGCCUCCUGGUCAUGCUUCCGCUGGUCACCAGUGUCUGCGGGGCGACCCCAUCCUUGUGGCCAGAGAGGGCCUGUGGCUGCGCUCAAGGCGGGAGCGGUCCUUAGCGGGGCCCUGCGGGACGCCCAGGCCGUGCUCCUUUCCCUUGCUCGCCUGGCCUUGAAGUGAAGGGGGAGGUUUAACAAUGCAGUGGGAACCCCAAAGUUUGUCUCGGCCGUGCUGCUCACAUUCCAAACAAUGCAAAAGGUUGAGGAAAACCUCAGCAGUUGAAACCGUGAUGCAUUUCAGCAAAGAAGUAGCUCCUGUCCUCGUAAAAUCAGUGAAGUUCUCACGGAUGACCUCAUUGAAAGUUUUCAUGGGCUGAGCUGCUGAGUUCAGCCUGGGAACUGAGGCCAACAUCGGAGUCUCCUCGGCACACAAGUUUGAAAGAAGUCCUAGUGACUUCAAGCUCAGAACCAUGGACGGCAGGGCUCCCUCUGGAUGUGGAAUUCUCCGUCCCUUUCCAGGGAGGGAACAAAGCCCACAAGCACCGAGACUCCUUCAGGGUGAGCAAAGGCUUGGAAACCUGUAUGCAGUUAAAGAAAAGGAAAGAAAGAGAUAAUCAGUGCAUGCAGUUGUCAGCUGGCUGGGACCUGAGGAGAGUCACUUGUGGAGGCAACUGGUCUUUAUCCCUAUUGUCCGGUACAAGGCAGGCAUUAAUCCUGUGAUCCUUAUCUGAAGCUCAGGCUAAAUAGGGAAGUAGAAUGGGAAUGUGAUAAAAAGUACCACCUCUGCAUCCUUCAAGUCCUUGAUGGUGGUACUAAUCUCUGCAAGCUCUACAAGAAUGCAGUAUUGUUUUUGGUUUGCUGUUUUUCUAGAUAGAGGCAGGUAAGUGGCUUCCACUUUAUAGCGUAAUUGCCCUCACUCUUCAGGUCAGGAAACCAGUGUAGGGAUUCUGCUAAUUGUUGAGUAUGUCUAUUCCAAUUAUUCUGCAGCUACAGAGAUAACGAGACUGGACCCACUGCAAGACAGACCUAAACUAAAACUCCAUUGAUCACCUAACCUCCCUAAGCCCCUACUCUCACUUGUGAACCAGAGUGAUGCAUUGGUUUUCCUGGGGUACCCUGAGUCUGAGUUCAGAACCAAUGUCCAGUAAUUCCCCCAAAGUCUGAUUAUU
rnacentral:lncRNA from 1 species